rnacentral:rRNA from 1 species
UCCGUAGGUGACCUGCGGAGGGAUCAUUA